GAUGAACGCUCGCUACAGGCUUAACACAUGCAAGUCGAGGGGAAACGGCAUCGAAAGCUUGCUUUUGAUGGGCGUCGACCGGCGCACGGGUGAGUAACGCGUAUCCAACCUGCCCAUCACUUGGGAAUAACCUUGCGAGAGUAAGACUAAUGCCCAAUGACAUCCCACGAAGGCAUCCGAAUGGGAUUAAAGAUUUAUCGGUGAUGGAUGGGGAUGCGUCUGAUUAGCUUGUUGGCGGGGUGACGGCCCACCAAGGCAACGAUCAGUAGGGGUUCUGAGAGGAAGGUCCCCCACAUUGGAACUGAGACACGGUCCAAACUCCUACGGGAGGCAGCAGUGAGGAAUAUUGGUCAAUGGGCGAGAGCCUGAACCAGCCAAGUAGCGUGCAGGAUGACGGCCCUAUGGGUUGUAAACUGCUUUUAUAAGGGAAUAAAGUGGGUCACGUGUGACUUUUUGCAUGUACCUUAUGAAUAAGGACCGGCUAAUUACGUG
rnacentral:rRNA from 1 species